rfam:Oryza barthii chromosome 12, whole genome shotgun sequence.
AAUAAAUACAGUUUUACAAUAUUUAUGUCUAACGUUUGACCGUUCGUCUUAUUUAAAAAAUUUUCAUGAUUAGUAAUUUUAUUAUUAUUUAAUGAUAAAACAUGAAUAAUACUUUAUGCGUGACUAUUUUUUUCACAAAUUUUUAAAAUAAAACGGUUGGUCAAACGUUAGAUACGGAUAUCCAUAGCUGCACUUAUU